UACGUAGGUGGCAAGCGUUGUCCGGAUUUACUGGGCGUAAAGAGCGCGCAGGCGGUCGUUCAAGUCGCGUGUGAAAGCCCCCGGCUCAACUGGGGAGGGUCAUUCGAUACUGAUCGACUCGAAGGCAGGAGAGGGAAGUGGAAUUCCCGGUGUAGUGGUGAAAUGCGCAGAUAUCAGGAGGAACACCGGUGGCGAAGGCGGAUCUCUGAGCCGUAACUGACGCUGAGGAGCGAAAGCGUGGGGAGCGAACAGG
rnacentral:rRNA from 1 species